rnacentral:lncRNA from 1 species
AACCAGUGCCAUUUGAUCCCCCUCCACCUCCCCUGAAAAAUAAAUAAAAAAGCAACGGGUUAGAUACAACAAGUGCACACUGGACGGUCCAGAUUCUCCCAUCCUCUUCGGUCAAGAUCGAUACAUGGUCCAAAACGCAUCUCAACUGUUCAUCAUUUUCCAUAAUUUAUUUUUCCACUCAUCUUUCUCUUCAUGGGAGGUUUCGUCUGUUACCCGAAAGUCUCACAUGGUCUUAGUUGUCCUCCUUCUUGUCCCUCUCUUUUAGUAAUUUUAAUAUUAAUUUUUUUAUUUGUUAUUUUUCUCAUGCAAUUAUAAUAUUUGGCUACUUAAAAUUCAUUUUUCUUAAUUUUUUGGAUAGAUUCUCUGAACCAAAUGCUGGAAGGCUUUCUUGUGUUUUGACAAAUGGUUUUGCAUUUCAUGCAAUUUGUGGGGUAUAUUUUGUGGGGUAUAGCUUUUUAGUACCACUACCAUUGUGAGGGGGCUCAAAUUUUUUUUUUUUUUAACUUUUUGGUUUCAAAUUUUGAUUUUUUCCCCCUUUUAGAGAAAGUGGGUCUGCAACUAUUUGUGGUUCUAGAGGUCUGGGGUCUCUCUAAAUUUGGAGGUGCUUGGUGUUGGUUUAGUCAUGGUUUGGAGGGAAAUACUCAGUGUGGGUUUGUUUUAGAGUGGAGUUUUGCUCAAAGGGUUUCUUCAUCUUUUUCUAUUCAAAUUUGGUAUUUGUUUUAUCUUUGAUCUUGUCUGGGGUUUCUCAAAAUAUAGAGGAGCAUUUAGGGUUGUUUUUUUCAGUGGUUUGGGGGUGUCCUCUAGUGUCAGCUUUGCUAUAGGGUUUUGAAGCUGGUUCUCUAUGUAAUUUGCAGGGAAAGACUUUUACCUUUGUUAUUUAAGCUACUGUAUCUGCAUUUUUUUUUUAAUGGGGCUGGAGUUUAGGCUUGCCUUGAAUCAAGAGGUGCAUUUGGGUUUGCUCUGAAUUUGGAAGUGUUCCUUUUUCUGUAUUUUUUACUGUUUUUUCCAAUAUUGGUUGUAGAGUGCUAGCCUGUGGAGCCAUUUGUAUCAGGUUUUAAAGUUGAAUUACAAGAAAUCAUACUCCAAAAGUGUGUCUUUUCCUUGAAUUUUAAGCCUUUUUCUAGUGGGGUCUUUGUUAGUGUUUAUGGAUAGGCUGGGAGGUUUCUAAGACUGGUUGUUUGCUAUUUUAGUUUAUAAGGACUGUAUCUCUCAAUCUUUUAAGUUGCAUUGAGCUCUCUCUCUCUCUCUCUCUCUCUCUCUCUCUC